rnacentral:rRNA from 1 species
UACGUAGGGUGCAAGCGUUGUCCGGAAUUAUUGGGCGUAAAGAGCUCGUAGGCGGUCUGUCGCGUCUGCUGUGAAAACUCGGAGCUUAACCCCGGGCCUGCAGUGGGUACGGGCAGACUAGAGUGCGGUAGGGGAGACUGGAAUUCCUGGUGUAGCGGUGAAAUGCGCAGAUAUCAGGAGGAACACCGGUGGCGAAGGCGGGUCUCUGGGCCGUAACUGACGCUGAGGAGCGAAAGCAUGGGGAGCGAACAGG